rnacentral:rRNA from 1 species
UGGGGAAUUUUGGACAAUGGGCGAAAGCCUGAUCCAGCAAUGCCGCGUGUGUGAAGAAGGCCUUCGGGUUGUAAAGCACUUUUGUCCGGAAAGAAAUCCUUGGCUCUAAUACAGUCGGGGGGAUGACGGUACCGGAAGAAUAAGCACCGGCUAACUACGUGCCAGCAGCCGCGGUAAUACGUAGGGUGCAAGUGUUAAUCGGAAUUACUGGGCGUAAAGCGUGCGCAGGCGGUUUGCUAAGACCGAUGUGAAAUCCCCGGGCUCAACCUGGGAACUGCAUUGGUGACUGGCAGGCUAGAGUAUGGCAGAGGGGGGUAGAAUUCCACGUGUAGCAGUGAAAAUGCGUAGAGAUGUGGAGGAAUACCGAUGGCGAAGGCAGCCCCCUGGGCCAAAUACUGACGCUCAUGCACG